ACAGUUUGUGAACCACCAUGUGGUUGCUGGGAAUUGAACUCAGGACCUCUGAAAGAGCAGUCAGUGCUCUUAACCGCUGAGCCAUCUCUCCAGCCCGUUUUACUUAUUUUUGAGACAGAAUCUUACUUUGUAGCCAUGUCUGUCCAGAAUCUCCUAAGGUGGACCAGGCUGGUCUUCAACUCCCAGAAAUCUGCCUGCUUCUGCCUUCAGGGUGAUGUUUUUGUUUGUUUGCUUUUCUGUCUCUUCUUUUUUUUUUUUUCUUUUCUUUUUCUUUUUUCUUUUUUCUUUUUUUUUUUUUUUGAGGCAGGGUUUCUCUGUAGCCCAUGCUGCCCUGGGGAGAUCCUCCUGCCUCUGCCUCCCAAGUGCUGGGAUUAAAGGCGUGCUCCUCCACCUGGCCCCCAGAGUGAUUGAAUUAAUAUACUACCAUGUCUGUUUUGUAAAGGUGGGGAUAGUGAUGAUGAUAAGGAAGAAGGGGAGAGGAAGGAGGAAAUUUUGCAAAUAUUUUGUCCCUAGGAAGGCAUUCUUUGCAUCUAGGGGUUUUUCUUGCUCUGACUUCCCAGAUCUGACUUUAGCUGUGCCCAUCUGUAACUCUCUGGCCAUUGUCUUCACACUGAUUGUGGGGAAGGUCUUUGGAGAAGAUAUUGGUGGAAAACCAGUGGCUGGCAUGGUGCUCACCGUCACGGGGAUCACACUGUGCAUCACGAGCUCGGUGACCAAGACCCAGGGCCAACCGUCCUCCUCUUGAGCAGGCCAAGCCCGGCCUGCACUUCUGCUGUGCUCAGCAGGUACUGCAGGGGUACACCAGCCGGCCUCUCUGAGCUUAGCUUCCUCAUCUCUGGGAUCACAUCUACCUCAGAGUCACAAUAAGAAUCGCAUGGUCCAGAGUUCCAGGACAGCCAAGGCUACACAGAGAAACCCUGUUUCAAAAAACCAAAAAAAAAAAAAAAAGAAGAAGAAGAAGAAGAAAGCAAAGAAAAGAACAAAGAAGAAGGACAGCCCUGGGAAGGUUUUGUAACCUUUGGUGGGUUCGGCUGUUGUGGAUUUAGCACUGGACCCAGGAGUGGUGGCGCACGCCUGUAAUCCCAGCACUCGGAAGGCAGAGGCAGGCGGAUCACUGGGUUCCAGGCCAGCCUGGGCUACAGAGCGAGUUCUGGGACAGCCAGGGCUACACAGUGAAACCUUGCAUUAGAGGGAGGAGACUGACUUAGCGCUGGAGACUGUACACCUGCCCGGCAGCCUCUGCCUGCUGUCAGCUCAGGCACUGUUCCCCUGGCCUGCUCUAAUAUCAGAGUCCGCCGAGCCUCCACUACAUGGAAAGGGCUGGCUGCAGUCUCUGAAACAGGACUGUGUCUGGAGACUUCCGCAGCCCUACUACGGUCUCUUGGCUGACUUGGGGUGGAAUUCAGGGAGAGUGGUUACAGCAGAAUGCAGAUGGGAGAAAAAUGAGCCGGCCCUGGGCAGAAAUGCUCACCUGCCAAUCCCUCAAGUGAGCAGACAGCUGUGUGCCAAGCAGCGCCAAGCUGCAGCAAACACCUGGCCAGUAGCAGCUUUCAAUAAAUCUGCAGCAAACAAA